AAUAGAAAGAUGGAAACUCUAUUAAGAGACUUAUCAAGCUGCAUUUCCUGUCUUCUCAUUCUGGUAUUGGCAUGUCCUGGGAUCGAGUUGUUGUAUGGUGGGUAUGGCAAUAAGUUCCCAUCCACGCUACCAAAAAUUCUAGUAAAAACUGUUUCUCCGAACAUCCCAAUCGUCGGGUUUAGCAGGCUUGUUAUCACGGCAUUACCGAGAUAAGACGGUGCAUAUGAGGCAAAGUCACCGUAGGCUUGGGGGAAAUAUUGUUGGUGAUAGAUUGGGUGUGAGGGCGAGCGGAUAUAAUUUGGAUGAAGCUCCUGGCUAGGAUGCAAUGAAGAGGUUGCAAUGGAAUGGGGCGGUGUGUUCAUUGAUGGUGGUGGUCUUCGAGGUACAGCAAUACCCAAGUGAGACUUCUUGGAUUCAGAAUCUGAGUUCGAUGAUGUGCCACGGCCAUAGAGGGGAACCAAAGAGGAGGGACUAAUGCUAGCCUUACAAACAGGGCAGUUCUGGGUGUUUUCGGGUUCAUUGCUGGAGAUUUGAACAUGAAGCCAUUUGUAAAUGCACGGCCAGCAAAAGAGGUGACCACAGAGGGUGACAACAGGGUCGGCUGCUGAGUCUAAGCAAAUGUUGCAAUCAAAGCAACCGCUCGCCUCUUCCGAGACUGUUGACUGAGUUGAGAUAGAUUUCCAGUUUUGCUUGAGAGAGACAUCUUGUUCAGACUCUAAGUAUGCCUCAGGUACAGCGUAGUUUUGUUCCAUGGAAAGAGUAAUAUGUUUCGUUAAAUAAGAACCUGAACGGCUUCGUACGACAAUCUCCG
rnacentral:misc_RNA from 1 species